UACAGAGACUGCAAGCGUUAUUCGGAUUCACUGGGCGUAAAGGGUGCGCAGGCGGCCAGGUGUGUCAGGUGUGAAAGCCCGGAGCUUAACUCCGGAAUUGCGCCUGAAACUACUUGGCUAGAGCAUUGGAGAGGGUAGCGGAAUUCACGGUGUAGCAGUGAAAUGCGUAGAUAUCGGUAGGAACACCAGUGGCGAAGGCGGUCUCCUGGGGCAUUCUUGACGCUGAAGCGCGAAGGCUGGGGGAGCAAACGGG
rnacentral:rRNA from 1 species